rnacentral:rRNA from 1 species
UUUUUUGUGCAUUGCCACUUCACUCUGCAGGUUUGGAUGCGUUAUAAAUCAUGGACAUGGGCUGAUUUCCAAGUGUCAUAUGAUUGUUUCAGCACUAUGGAGGAUUGAUGGCUAUAGGCUCGGGCGGCGAUCCCAAAGCUGAUGAGGCGGUACUUUGACACGAUCAUUAUCUUGUUCCACUGGAGAGUCUGGAAGGAGAGAAACAUGAUGAUAUUUGACAAUGUGGCCAGCUCUGCCGACAGGGUGUUGGACCCGAUCAAAGAAGACAUCGGCAUGUGGAGGGCCGAGGGGUGUAUUUGCGAGCUGCCUGUUUCAGGACUAGUUUCUGCCUUGGGGUUUUAG